rnacentral:rRNA from 5 species
CGCGUGACGAUGAGUAUUUCGGUACGUAAAGUUCUUUUAUUAGGGAAGAAUAAAUGAUGGAAAAAUCAUUCUGACGGUACCUAAUGAAUAAGCCCCGGCUAACUAUGUGCCAGCAGCCGCGGUAAUACAUAGGGGGCAAGCGUUAUCCGGAAUUAUUGGGCGUAAAGGGUGCGUAGGCGGUUAAAUAAGUUUAUGGUCUAAGUGCAAUGCUCAACAUUGUGAUGCUAUAAAAACUGUUUAGCUAGAGUAAGAUAGAGGCAAGUGGAAUUCCAUGUGUAGUGGUAAAAUGCGUAAAUAUAUGGAGGAACACCAGUAGCGAAGGCGGCUUGCUGGGUCUUUACUGACGCUGAGGCACGAAAGCGUGGGGAGCAAACAGGAUUAGAUACCCUGGUAGUCCACGCCGUAAACGAUGAGUACUAAACGUUGGGUAAAACCAGUGUUGAAGUUAACACAUUAAGUACUCCGCCUGAGUAGUACGUACGCAAGUAUGAAACUUAAAGGAAUUGACGGGACUCCGCACAAGCGGUGGAUCAUGUUGUUUAAUUCGAAGGUACCCGAAAAACCUCACCAGGUCUUGACAUGCUUCUGCAAAGCUGUAGAAACACAGUGGAGGUUAUCAGUUGCACAGGUGGUGCAUGGUUGUCGUCAGCUCGUGUCGUGAGAUGUUGGGUUAAGUCCCGCAACGAGCGCAACCCUUAUUGUUAGUUACCAGCACGUAAUGGUGGGGACUUUAGCAAGACUGCCAGUGAUAAAUUGGAGGAAGGUGGGGACGACGUCAAAUCAUCAUGCCCCUUAUGACCUG